rnacentral:lncRNA from 1 species
ACUUCAUUCUGUAUCUUUAAACAAGUAAUGACUCCCUUCAUCUGCUGUUCACCUUAAAGUUACUAUAUUGCAACUUGCAGGACAUCUUUUACAAUCAAGUUAAUGUCAGUUGAAGCACGACUGGGAGUUGCUGAAGUAACAAAAUGCUUCCUCUCCUAGGUAUUGAGCCAUUGCAAGGAUAAACUGUUUCAUCACACUGCCCCAGGAACAGUCUUUUAUCAACAGUUCUCGUGACAUGUCUUGUCUGUGAGGAAGUUGUAUUUGUUCUAGUGAUAACCAGAUUCAUUUGCUGAUACGUGCAUUCUUGCCAGGCCGCCCCACAGUUCUGCUCGUCUUCUCUUUCUUGAGAGAUCCGUUCUGCAUUAUCCCCUUCAUGUGUGCAGCAGCACAGAAAGUUGGACUCUAGAUAGCUGCUAUGUUUCUGGA